UAGGGAAUAUUGGGCAAUGGAGGAAACUCUGACCCAGCCAUGCCGCGUGCAGGAUGACGGCCCUCUGGGUUGUAAACUGCUUUUAUACGGGAAGAAAAAAUACUACGUGUAGUAUACUGACGGUACCGUAAGAAUAAGGAUCGGCUAACUCCGUGCCAGCAGCCGCGGUAAUACGGAGGAUCCAAGCGUUGUCCGGAUUUAUUGGGUUUAAAGGGUGCGUAGGCGGAUCUUUAAGUCAGUGGUGAAAGCCUGCAGCUUAACUGUAGAACAGCCAUUGAAACUGAAGAUCUUGAAUGUGGUUAAAGUAGGCGGAAUGUAUCAUGUAGCGGUGAAAUGCUUAGAUAUGAUACAGAACACCGAUAGCGAAGGCAGCUUGCUGAACCAUUAUUGACGCUGAGGCACGAAAGCGUGGGGAGCGAACAG
rnacentral:rRNA from 1 species